rnacentral:lncRNA from 1 species
GAACGCCACAGGAUGUUCUGUUCGAUGCUAAUGCAGAACGCCACAGGAUGUUCUGUUCGAUGCUAAUGCAGAAUGCCACAGGAUGUUCUGUUCGAUGCUAAUGCAGAACGCCACAGGAUGUUCUGUUCGAUGCUAAUGCAGAACGCCACAGGAUGUUCUGUUCGAUGCUAAUGCAGAACGCCACAGGAUGUUCUGUUCGAUGCUACUGCAGAACGCCACAGGAUGUUCUGUUCGAUGCUAAUGCAGAACGCCACAGGAUGUUCUGUUCGAUGCUAAUGCAGAACGCCACAGGAUGUUCUGUUCGAUGCUAAUGCAGAACGCCACAGGAUGUUCUGUUCGAUGCUAAUGCAGAACGCCACAGGAUGUUCUUGUGCUGGUCAAGGACAGUCAGGUCUGGAGAGAACCAAGGGCUAUAUCUGUUCCUGGUUCUACAUUUCUUGAAUGGGGCGUGCUUAUUUAAGAUGGUGAGGAAGGCACUUUUAAAGAAUAACCAGGCAUCCUCUACUGACGGGAUGAGGUCAAUAUCCUUCCAGGAUACCCGGGCCAGGUCGAUUAGAAAGGCCUGCUCGCUGAAGUGUUUUAGGGAGCGUUUGACAGUGAUGAGGGGUGGUCGUUUGACCGCUGACCCAUUAUGAAUGCAGGCAAUGAGGCAGUGAUCGCUGAGAUCUUGGUUGAAAACAGCAGAGGUGUAUUUAGAGGGCAAGUUGGUUAGGGUGCCCGUGUUUACGGAUUUGGGGUUGUACCUGGUGGGUUUAUUGAUCAUUUUUGUGAGAUUAAGGGCAUGAAGCUAAGAUUGUAGGAUGGCCGGGGUGUUAAGCAUGUCACAGUUUAGGUCACCUAGCAGCACGAGCUCUGAAUAUAGAUGGGGGCAAUCAGUUCACAUAUGGUGUCCAGGGCACAGCUGGGGGCAGAGGGAGGUCUAUAACAGCUGGGGGCAGAGGGUGGUCUAUAGCAGCUGGGGGCAGAGGGGGGUCUAUAGCAGCUGGGGGCUGAAGGGGGUCUAUAACAGCUGGGGGCUGAAGGGGGUCUAUAACAGCUGGGGGCAGAGGGGUGGUCUAUAGCAGCUGGGGGCAGAGGGAGGUCUAUAACAGCUGGGGGCAGAGGGUGGUCUAUAACAG